GAUGAACGCUGGCGGCGUGCCUAAUACAUGCAAGUCGAGCGAACAGACGAGGAGCUUGCUCCUCUGACGUUAGCGGCGGACGGGUGAGUAACACGUGGAUAACCUACCUAUAAGACUGGGAUAACUUCGGGAAACCGGAGCUAAUACCGGAUAAUAUAUUGAACCGUAUGGUUCAAUAGUGAAAGACGGUUUUGCUGUCACUUAUAGAUAGAUCCGCGCCGCAUUAGCUAGUUGGUAAGGUAACGGCUUACCAAGGCAACGAUGCGUAGCCGACCUGAGAGGGUGAUCGGCCACACUGGAACUGAGACACGGUCCAGACUCCUACGGGAGGCAGCAGUAGGGAAUCUUCCGGAAUGGGCGAAAGCCUGACGGAGCAACGCCGCGUGAGUGAUGAAGGUCUUCGGAUCGUAAAACUCUGUUAUUAGGGAAGAACAAAUGUGUAAGUAACUAUGCACGUCUUGACGGUACCUAAUCAGAAAGCCACGGCUAACUACGUG
rnacentral:rRNA from 1 species